UUUUAAAAUUAUUUAUUACCUCACUAUCGAUUUGAUUCUUUCCUCACCACUGUUUCCCUGUCUCUUUAACAAAACCUUCAACCUCCCUCUCUCUUCACAACUUGAGAUCUGAAUCGAAAUCGAAGAAAGAUUGAGAAAUGAGGGAACCGUCGUCGGUGGGACUCGAAGGCAACGACAUCGUUUCUCCGCCGUCGCAAGCUCUCCCCGAGAGACUCAGAGACUUCGGUCAGGAAGAUGCUUUCGCCCUCUGGUAUGAGCUCUUCCCCGAGAAACCUGACCUCCUCAUCAAGGACAUUGAGAGUUGAGAUUUUUGGCGAAUUGGUCGGAUUAUUCAAUGCUCGCUACGAUUUCAAGGGUUGCCGUCGGCGGUCAUUGAGCCAGUGCCGGAGAGCAGUGUGUCUACGGUGGAGGAGAGAAGCCAGGAGGAUCGUGAGAGACGGUGGAAAAUGGGGUUGAAGGCUAUUUCAGAUGGCAAGUUAGCUGUGUUGCUUUUAUCCGGUGGCCAGGAGAAAAAUAUGUCAAAUAUUUUAUCUUCACUCGUAUAAUGAAAUGCUAACCAAGUUAAGAUCGAGCAAGCACCCGAAUUCAGGAGAGCUUGUAUGACAUAUCUAACAAUACUUUGUUUUGGUCAUUUCUUUUCCUGCAAAUGGUUGAACAUAUAUUCAUCUCAGUAAUGGCUGAAAUGAUGAAUUAUCGGAUGUUGUGAUGCAUUCCAUCAGGAGGAUAAUGUGUUUGUUACUGUGGUUGCUUCUAUCCAAUAUCGAGCAUUGGCAGAAAAGGCAGCGGAUGCUUACUACAAACUCAGCAAUACCAGAGCACAGAUACAGUCCUAUGUCUUUGAUUAAAUUACCACCAUUAGCACAAAUCUUUGCAGCUAUUCUCUAUUUGACGGUAAGAUAAGAUUCCUUUGAUUGAAGAAAUUAGGAACACUUAUAAGCUUAAUUUUUAGUGAUUAUAUGACAAUUGGAAGGAGGAAAACAAUUAGCACAACAUCUCCACAUUUUCUGUAGAAAACAAAACCAUAGGGAAUAAUUACUUUAUACACCAUCAAACUUAUUCUUUUUUGCCAAAAUUCCCUUCCUUUUGCACCCAUGUCCUACACAAUUGAGAUAUGAUCCCGAUUUUGGUAAAAUGUUCUCCCUUUGUAAAGAGGGAAGUUCAUCCUUUAUUGUAUACAAAAUUGCAAUUAUAACAAUAUUUCCUACCUAUUUCUUUAUUCUGCAACAUCCUACAUAAAGUAGGAUUAUACAUUGGCUGGGAAUGGGAUUCCACACUACGUCAACUUGAUUCUUUUUGUUUUCAUGGGUGCUUUUGUAUCUUUUUAUGGUUAAGAAUCUUUGAAGUGGUAUCACCAUGCAUUAUGGAAAGUCUACAUUCCCAAGUAUGAAUGUGUGACACUCCAUUGAUUGAGAUCCAUGUUUUGGUACUCAAUAUCACUCUCUAGUAAAAUGUAGGUAAUUUUAAAUCGGUCUUAAUCUUUUUAGUAAUACACACCAGCACACAUUCUUUCAGGAUAUGCUUAUUUUUGUAAUUAAGGAACAGCAAAUCUGGAAAUCUCUUCAUUUCAUGUUAAGUUUUAUAGAAAAUCGGUCUUAAUCUUUUUAGAAUACACACCAGAACAUUUUCUUUCGGGAAAUGCUUAUUUUUUUAAUUAAGGAACAGCAAAUCUGGAAAUCUCUUCAUUUGAAUGUUAAGUUUUAUAGAAAACAAUUGUUUUAAAGAUGGAAUAUCAAUUCAAUAUUCAUCUUAACAUGUUUUUGCCUUCUUUACUGAAUCAAGUGUUUUAUAUUGAUCAUUUUGGUAGUCAUCGUACUCAAAUGUAUGAGGCUCUAGUUAAUUUCGAACAAAUGAGGAGAAUUUGGUUGUUUAAUUUCAGGUGGAAUGGAUUCAUGAAACGCUCAAAUGACAAAGGAAUUACCUGGACAGAAAGAGAACAACUUCCUCCUGGUAUAUUAGGACCUAUCAAGAAUAAGGUUAAACUGAAACUACUGACUUACUAAGUAACAUUUUGUCUGUACCUUUGGCCUUGGGGUUUAUAACUCAGUCAGGACAAAUUUAUGUUUUUGGUACUGAAUUCAAGAACUGUUAUUCAGCCUAUCUUGCUAGAAAAUGGUGACUUACUGUGUGGAUAUUCUGUUGAAAGCUAUAACUCAUUCGGAGCAUGGGCAGAGGUGUCUAAUAGAACUAACCGAUCUUGGUGAUGUAAUAGCAGUUGAUCUUGAUUAGCUAGUUAACUUCUAUGUUGAGCUGAGAGUAUAGCAGUCACAUGAGCAUUCAAGAAUCUUCGAUGUAUUUUUUAAAACUCAUUACUUUGGCUAGUUAUGAGGAAGUGGGGGCAACUUUUAGGUAUCUAUUUUAUUUGUAUCUCUAUAGGUUUGGUUUAUAGUCGAGAGCUUUAAUAGAAUGGUGGGACCACCAUUAGCACAAAUCUUUGUAUUCUGCAGAAUCUUGCACAGAUUUAUGUUAUUGUUUAAUAUGUAGGUUUAGCCCCACAAGUUUUCAUUGAAAAAACACAAGCAUUUUACUGAUU